rnacentral:lncRNA from 7 species
GUGUUGUGUCAGCAACUGGCUAUCUUCUUCAGAGGCACAAUGAAUUUUGCAUAAUGUUAAUGAGAGGAAGUUUCGUAGUUCUGUCACGGAAGUACAAGGUACUACAAUCACCCCCUUGCUUUGUAUGGGCAGAAUCAGACCAGAUGAGGGACAAAAUAAUAAGUGAAAAGAAGACUUCUUCCAGGAGGGCUAUAUUCAGUUAACCCUAAUAGACAGUUGAAGUACCAUUCACUACAUCUUCAGACUUAUGAAUUCUUCUGCAUAGAUUCAGCAAUGGAAUAGGGAAUCACACAGCAGGUUUGAAAGCUCAUGCUCCAAAGUUGGAAAGAAUCCCUGCAAAUACACUUAUAUUCACCUAGGAAACCUGGAAUCUAGAGGAGGCAUCCAUUACAAUUUUAAUUCUCUUUCAGCAUGUCAUUUUUAAAAAUCCCUGUGUUAGUCACUUCACUGUUACGUUUCUGCUCAGAAAAUUACAAUUUUCUGGCUUAGAAGAGUUAAAGAAUGACAGUAAAGAUUUUGUAUUUAACCAGCAGUGGAGAUUAAUCAGUAGUAUAAUACCAUGUUCUUUUAAAACCAAAUAGAAAUAAAUCUGUAUGUUUU